rnacentral:tRNA from 1 species
UCCCCUGUGGUGUAAUGGGCAACACGUGGCGCUUUGGACGCUUUGUUCCAGGUUCGAGUCCUGGCAGGGGAGCC